AUCGAACGCUGGCGGCAGGCCUAACACAUGCAAGUCGAGCGGAGCGGCGGACGGGUGAGUAAUGCCUAGGAAUCUGCCUGGUAGUGGGGGAUAACGUCCGGAAACGGGCGCUAAUACCGCAUACUAUCAGAUGAGCCUAGGUCGGAUUAGCUAGUUGGUGGGGUAAAGGCCUACCAAGGCGACGAGCCGUAAAUGGUCUGAGAUGAUGAUCAGUCACACGGGAACUGAGACACGGUCCAGACUCCUAUGUGAGGCAGCAGUGGGGAAGAUUGGACAAUGGGCAAAAGCCUGAACCAGCCAUGCAGCGUGUGUGAAGAAGGACUUCGGAGUGUAAAGCACUUUAAGUUGGGAGGCGUUACCAACAGAAUAAGCACCGGCUAACUUCGUGACAGCAGCCGCGGUAAUAC
rnacentral:rRNA from 1 species